CAUACCCUCAGCCUUACAGGGUGACCAUUCUGUUUCUGGAGAUGCUCAAGGAACCAAACAGAAUAAAGGCAAGAAAGCUGAAAGUGUAGCUUCACUAUGAGCAGUGAGGGUGUGAUGCUCUGCAGGAAUGAAGGCUUUUUGCUCCUGGAAAGGGCACAGCAUGCUUCCAGCUCAGGUUCCUCCUUGAAAUUCACUUCAGAAAACCUCAUUUUCACAAGAGGAGCUUAAUCAUUCAUGUUUUCGCUAUGGAACUAAGGCUGGUUACUGAAUCCAGGAAUGUCUGGGGCUGCAGAGCUUGCAACAUGUGCUGAAGUGGAAAAAGAACCAGGAGCCACAUGUAUGCCCUUGUGUCUGCUCAUGCAUCCCGGGAGAGACUAAAGUCCUAUAUAUCAGAUGUUUCUGCUGCCUUCCACUGAAGUUCUGUGUUUUGUUUUUGCACUCUACACACACCUCAGCUUCAUGGCCUGAGACCAGUGUCUUCAUAAAACUGAAGAAGUGUCAACAAGUCUCCCUAUAAAGAGAAGUUUGAGACAAUGGAUCGCUAACACCGAGUUAAGUAUUCUACUGUGUAUCUGUGUCUUAAAAGAUCACAGGGUAACUACACAAAGAUGUACACUUUUGUUUUGCUUUCUGUGUCAGUUUAGAGACAAAAUUAAGGAAAGUACCUCCGUCCCCUGUUCCUGGGCUAAGUUCAUGGUCACCUAGGUGCUCUUUGUUGACCAGGUGUGAACAUCAUCUCCUUUCUACUUUCAGAGUACUGGCAUUUUCUUAGCAGAAAGGAUAGUGACACAUACAGUGUAAAAGUCAAAAUUAUUUUCCUGAUAGCUACUGGGUUAGUGAGGAUAGAGUAAAUUGCAUUUGAGGAUAAAUUUAGAUUUGUGAGUUAUUUCCUCUCUUCCUCUCACUCACUGUUCCCUGGAUGGCUGAAUAUGCACUUUCUCUUCUGCCCUUUAGGAAGCAUUUCCUGUACAAAUAUGGCUUACUCUUGCAAUAAUCUCCUAUAACACCACACUACUGGGCUUCUUUCCAAAAGGUCCUCAUCUGCUGUGUGGUACUCAGGAUCCCUAGGGUGGGAUAUCUUUCAUGUAAAUGAUUUCAUUCAAACUUUUAUAGAGGUGUUCUGCAAACAAGACAGUUUCAUUUCAGGACUUGGAAGGGGAAAGGGGAGAAAGCAAAUGAAUUUUUUAGAACCCUUAUACUCUACCCAGACUGCAUAUGUUUUCAGACUUAAGAAUUACUUUGCCAGCUUUGAACGAAGCUUAUCAUAGAUGAAGAUCUGCUUUAGUCUCUCUUCAGUGUUUCUCAAGGAAGAACUCAGCUAGUCAGAACUCUGCUAACAAAAGGUGAGUGCUUCAAGUCACACUACAUCUUUUGCCCCAUGGUGUUUUUCAUUCUUCUUCAUAUGUAUGUAGUCCAGGACUACAUUGAAAACUGGUGGAUAAAACUACUGCUUUUGUGAAGGUGAAACUCAAGUAUGGAAGUCCAGGGAAUUGUGCUGCCUUAAUGAAUUACUUAAAGAUACUACUGGGUUAUUGGAUAAUAGUGCUAUGAUAGGGGGCAUACAGGCAACAUAGAACAAGGCUUCAAGAGAACACCUGUAGAUAAGAAGACUACAGUCUAAGGACCAAGUUAUCAAUUCUGGCUGAGCAUGUGCCCCAUGUGUUUCCUUACUUACUCUUAGCAGGAGCCCAUAAGCCUCCACAUUCUAAGUUUCGUGAUGGUGUCUCUGCCCCCAGCCCAUUACUCCUGAGCUCCUGUUCAUCUCUUCUUGCUUGGCACUCUCACUUUGAAGGCUUUCACAGGGUUACACUCCUUGUAUGUGAUUAUGGUCACUCCAGCUAUUGUCUGAACCUAGCUGCAUAAUGGCUGGCACAUAGUGCUUGCUUGCUGAAUGGCACCCACACUGUAGUACUUCAUAGGUGUUAGCUUAUUUUUGUCAGCAACACAACAUGCAGUAGCAAUACCCUUACCUCCAUUCCAUUGAUUCAGUAACAAGUUUAGCUUAUUUGCUGGGCAUCUCAAUCUAAACACGUGGUGGCAAUUCUAUAAGAUUGGUGAUAAACUUCAGUGUUUUUCUUUUCUGUUCAAACCGAUAGAGGCAAUACUGGCUGUGAGGAGAUUGAGAAUGAGUAAGGAUGGUUCUUUCCUUUGGCCAUUACAAGAAUUCUGUGUAGAUUAUUGUUCCUGUUGGUCAGUACUGUCAUUCAAGUCAUGAUGCUCAUAGCCACUAACUUUAGGCUGCAGCUUUUUAUAUCCCUUUCUCUCACCCCUUCCUUUCCAGGAAUGAAAAAGUUUUGGACUUAAGUUCAGCCCUAAGGUACCCAAAUAUCAGUCUGGGAAUCUGGAGUAUCAUGUACAGGAAAGAUGGGGUCUUGACUUUGGAUUGAGGGAGAUGUCUAUGUGGCUGAUGGGCCUUCCCUGGACCAGGAGAGACUGCUUCUGUCCCAAGAGAUGCUUCUCUAAGGACUUCACCAAUGGGAAUGGACUCCCAACCAUGCUGGUUAGGAUGCUUCUCUCAAGGCUUCAGCACUGGGAAUGGACUUCCAACCGUGCCUCCUCCCUUUUACAGGCAUUGUGUGAAUACUUAAAGGAAGUUGUACUUCAUUUCCAUCAGGAUGAAGUCCCCACCUGAUGGUUCCCAUACAAAAAACGUUGGAUCCCUCUUAUUUGCCAAUUUCAAGUUGUUCUGUUAAUAUAAACUCAUGUGUACUUAUUUUUCAGUUUGAAUUAUGAUCCAGUUUUACUAUAUUAUUGUGUUCAACUUUCCAACAAUGCUGUUAAUAUGUGAACAAUACCAGCAUCAUCUGGUAUAUCUUCUAUUGCAGGACUGGAAUCUUUAUUUCUUCAAGAAUUCCAUAUUCUCUCUUUCCAUAGAGAAUUCUUGUAGAUGCACACUGUUAUUGCUACUUCCUUGUUUCUGUGUGUUCAGUCAACAAAGCAAGAAAAAUUAUGUAUAUGGUAACAUGUAUGUUUAUUAUACAUAAAUAAUUUUCUUAGUCUCUUCCACAAAUGCAAUAUUUUCUCUUUUUGCACCUAUAAACUCCUUAUUGAAUAGAGAGUAUCCAGUUCCUAUUGUAGAGUAACUUAAUUGCUUGGUUCCUCUAUACCUUUAUUUCAGUGUCAGAAUUAACCCAUAUUAAGCAACCUUGUUAACGAGAGUAUUUAGAACUAUUUAUUUGCUUAACGUUAGUGUUUUAUUCCUUCACCCCCUUCUUUGAAAUAUUUGAUGUCUUGAUAGAUAUGUGAUUUAAUGUUUUACCUCAAAAUAUUUUUGAUAAAGAAUAAAUGA
rnacentral:sRNA from 1 species